rnacentral:rRNA from 1 species
UACGUAGGGUGCGAGCGUUAAUCGGAAUUACUGGGCGUAAAGCGUGCGCAGGCGGUUCGUCGUGUCGGUGGUGAAAUCCCCGGGCUUAACCUGGGAAUGGCCAUGGAAACUGGCGAACUGGAGUGCGGCAGAGGGGGGUGGAAUUCCGCGUGUAGCAGUGAAAUGCGUAGAGAUGCGGAGGAACACCGAUGGCGAAGGCAGCCCCCUGGGCUAGCACUGACGCUCAGGCACGAAAGCGUGGGGAGCAAACAGG